GACGAACGCUGGCGGCGUGCCUAAUACAUGCAAGUCGAACGCAGUGGGGACGGGUGAGUAACACGUGGGUAACCUCCCAUCAGAGGGGAUAACACUUGGAAACAGGUGCUAAACCGAUACUGAUGGAUGGACCCGCGGUGUAUUAGCUAGUUGGUGGGUUAACGGCUAACCAAGGCCACGAGGCAUAGCCGACCUGAGAGGGUGAUCGGCUAAACUGGGACGGGGACCUGGCCCGAACGCCAACGGGAGGCGGCAGGAGGGAAUCUUCGGCAAUGGACGAAAGUCUGACCGUGAAACGCCGCGUGAGUGAAAAAGGUUUUCGGAUCGUAAAACUCUGUUGUUAGAGAAGCGGUAUCUAACCAGAAAGCCACGGCUAACUACGUGCCAGCAGCCGCGGUAAUAC
rnacentral:rRNA from 1 species